rnacentral:tRNA from 1 species
UAGCUCAGAGGCACAGUGCCUGUCUGGCAAAUAUGAGGCCCUGGGUUCAAUUCCCAG